rnacentral:misc_RNA from 1 species
AACUUUUAGCAAUGGAUCACUUGGCUCUCGCAGCGAUGAAGAACGCAGCGAAAUGCGAUACGUAAUGUGAAUUGCAGAAUUCAGUGAAUCAUCGAAUCUUUGAACGCAUAUUGCGCUCUUUGAUAUUCCGAAGAGCAUGCUUGUUUGAGUAUCAGUAAACACCUCAAACUCCUCAUGUUUUUUCAAAAGGAGGGUGGACUUGAGCUAUCCCAACAACCUUCACCGGUAGGCGGGCGGCUUGAAAUGCAGGUGCAGCUGGACUUUUAUCUGAGCUAAAAGCAUAUCUAUUUAGUCCUCGUCAAACAGGAUUAUUACUAUUGCUGCAGCUAACAUAAAGGAUAAUUGUCCUCAUUGCUGACUGAUGCAGGAUUUUACGACACUUUAUGUGUUGUUCAACUCGAUCUCAAAUCAAGUAAGACUACCCGCUGAACUUAAGCAUAUCAAUAAGCGGAGGCU